rnacentral:rRNA from 1 species
AGAGUUUGAUCCUGGCUCAGGAUAAACGCUGGCGGCGCACAUAAGACAUGCAAGUCGAACGGACUUAACUCAUUCUUAUAGAUUGAGAGCGGUUAGUGGCGGACUGGUGAGUAACACGUAAGCAACCUACCUAAUAGAGGGGGACAACAGUUAGAAAUGACUGCUAAUACCGCAUAUGCCGAGAGUAUCGCAUGAUACGACCGGAAAGGAGAAAUCCGCUAAUAGAUGGGCUUACGGCUGAUUAGCUAGUUGGUGAGGUAAAGGCUUACCAAGGCGACGAUCAGUAGCCGGACUGAGAGGUUGGACGGCCACAUUGGGACUGAGAUACGGCCCAGACUCCUACGGGAGGCAGCAGUCGGGAAUUUUGCGCAAUGGAGGGAACUCUGACGCAGUGACGCCGCGUGCAGGAAGAAGGUUUUCGGAUUGUAAACUGCUUUAGACAGGGAAGAAGAAAGACAGUACCUGUAGAAUAAGCUCCGGCUAACUACGUGCCAGCAGCCGCGGUAAUACGUAGGGAGCGAGCGUUAUCCGGAUUUAUUGGGUGUAAAGGGUGCGUAGACGGGAAAUUAAGUUAGUUGUGAAAGCCCUUUGCUUAACGGAGGAACUGCAACUAAAACUGAUAUUCUUGAGUACUGGAGAGGAAAGUGGAAUUCCUAGUGUAGCGGUGAAAUGCGUAGAUAUUAGGAGGAACACCAGUGGCGAAGGCGACUUUCUGGACAGAGACUGACGUUGAGGCACGAAAGUGUGGGGAGCAAACAGGAUUAGAUACCCUGGUAGUCCACACUGUAAACGAUGGAUAC